rnacentral:rRNA from 1 species
GACGAACGCUGGCGGCGUGCUUAACACAUGCAAUUCGAACGGUGAACCUCUUCGGAGGGGAUCAGUGGCGAACGGGUGAGUAACACGUGUGCAACCUGCCCCCGGCUCUGGGAUAACUCCACGAAAUUGUGGCUAAUACCGGAUGUUCACCGCUUCCCGCAUGGGUGGUGGUGGAAAGGGUUUCCGGCUGGGGAUGGGCCCGCGGCCUAUCAGCUUGUUGGUGGGGUAGUGGCCUACCAAGGCGACGACGGGUAGCCGGCCUGAGAGGGUGACCGGCCACACUGGGACUGAGACACGGCCCAGACUCCUACGGGAGGCAGCAGUGGGGAAUAUUGCGCAAUGGGCGGAAGCCUGACGCAGCGACGCCGCGUGGGGGAUGACGGCCUUCGGGUUGUAAACCUCUUUCAGCAGGGACGAAGCGCAAGUGACGGUACCUGCAGAAGAAGCACCGGCCAACUACGUG